rnacentral:rRNA from 1 species
GGUGAACGCUGGCGGCAUGCUUUACACAUGCAAGUCGAACGGUAACAGGGUGCUUGCACCGCUGACGAGUGGCGAACGGGUGAGUAAUGCGUCGGAACGUGCCGAGUAGUGGGGGAUAACGCAGCGAAAGUUGUGCUAAUACCGCAUACGUACUGAGGUAGAAAGUGGGGGACCUUCGGGCCUCACGCUAUUCGAGCGGCCGACGCCUGAUUAGCUAGUAGGUGAGGUAAAGGCUCACCUAGGCGACGAUCAGUAGCGGGUCUGAGAGGAUGAUCCGCCACACUGGGACUGAGACACGGCCCAGACUCCUACGGGAGGCAGCAGUGGGGAAUUUUGGACAAUGGGCGAAAGCCUGAUCCAGCCAUGCCGCGUGUCUGAAGAAGGCCUUCGGGUUGUAAAGGACUUUUGUCAGGGAGGAAAUCCCUAGUGCUAAUAACACUGGGGGAUGACAGUACCUGAAGAAUAAGCACCGGCUAACUACGUGCCAGCCGCCGCAGUAA